CCAGACCCUUUCACACUUUACAAUUUUACAUAACUCACCAUAAGACACGUAACAACCAUAUCGACCGGCGGACAAAAGAAAAGAAAUGCUUAUAUUCAAAUGACUUAUUAGUACCGAGUUGGCCGUAAGAGUGAAAGCGUCGCCUCGGUCGUCCGCACGAGUUAUGGCGUAGUACUAAGUCAGAUCACGUUUUCCCUCCUGAAUUCAUAUAGUGACGAUCGAUCGUGUUUAGAAUGAGGCCUGCUGUCCAGUGUACCAAGGUUAACAAAUCAAUUCCGAUCAUUUCCCAAAGGAUCGAUACUCUGAGAUACAUAACUUAACCUAUAACGGAUAAUCCAGCUUACACGAUACGGAUGACAGAUAGCAUAGACAAAAUAUUUUCGUAUCGGCAGUGUGUAACGACUGUGUCUCUCGAUGCCCGUGCACGGAAUAAAAACUGGUUUAAAGCAUUCGGAGAGACAACAUAACCAAGAAACUGAAAUCAGAUGUUAUUUUAAGUACACACAUCGGCCCAAGGUAACCUGGCUAAACGAGAGUGCAAUAGAGAAGGAUCAACCGGAAUGAUUUUUCCUGUCUGGUACUCUACGGUACUUCGGUGCUUUCGAGUGUACUCGACUUCUCAGUGAGGUUAGGAGCUUCGGAGAUACUAAAGGGAAAGAUAUUCUUGGCAGCGUCGCGAUGCAACAACUGUCCCCAUCCGUCAUCUAAGUAACGUCGAGAUGCCCAUGGCCAGUCUGUCCCUUUUACGCAUCUCCUUUCACGUAUUCGAUCAUCCGUAGUUGAUGUCUCUACGUAGCCGACCGUCCAGGAUGCUCAGCGGGUGUUAUUGACGGUGCGUUGCGUCGCGACGCUCGCCCAGGAUCCUAAAGCCAGUUGAGUGAGCAAAGGAAGAAGAGGAGCGCCGAUGAUCAGUCAUCGUGACGCAUACUUACCCAUACGUUCUCGCACUCCGUACCUUCCACUCUUUUUCACUCCCUGCACCAGCGUUCAGAAUGUGUGAUACGCUUAACGCGCAUGCGCCUACGAUAUGGAAGUGUCCUGAGGCAUUAAGGAAAAAACAAGGAAGCAUCUUUAUUUCGUCUUUAAACCUGUUCAACGUGAUCGAAUUACCGACCUUCGUCUGUCUCUUGUGGAUAAUUAUUUUCACACCUUAUUUAUUCAUCUCAACCUCAAGAUACCAUAUUUGAUUAUCUAUUUAUCUGAGGAAACGUAAUUUCUUCAUUUCAACCUCAAAAUACAAUCUUUGAUUAUCUAUUUAUCUGGGGAAACGUAAUUUCUUCAUCACAACCUCAAGAUACCCUAUGAACUUUUGAUCGUUGAUGUUUCAGAAUACAAGUACCAUAUUUGAUUACUUAUCUAGGGAAACGUAAUACGGUACAAGAAUGAGACGAAUGGUCCACGAGAACUGACUUUUCAUCUGGGCCACUGUAUUUUUCAGAUGCUGCUUCCGAAUAUUUCCCGUCGGUUCCAAACGAAUCGUGGAUCGACGUUCACGGGGAGACAAGGAUAAAGAAGUAUCUUCUUGAUAAAUCGGAUGCUUGUCCAACAUCUCUGACACGCCGACGCCUCUUGAUCUCGCAGCAGGAUGAACAACCCUUCUUGGCAUUAAGGCAGACACCCUUUUUUUAUCUCAUAAGUCUUACACUGGCUUUGCCACCUGAUUCUGAGUAUAGGUUUGACUUGGUAGUCACCUGGCAGUAUGGUCCCUUCUAUGAAGUACAGAUACACUAGGGAUAUACCAGCAUACUAGUAUUCCCUAUAUCUUUCUUCGUUUCGUACUAGUAAUGUAUGUAUAUUCAAAUAUAUAUCGACUAUAGUCUAUCCUGCAUAAAUGCAUGAGUGCACAGGCGUAUCAGGACUAUCACGAUUGCCAUAUAUGAAAACAAGUACAGUGAGAGUCUAUAGUUAUGCAUCGGCGCCACGGCGGUGAAUUUCCACGACGGAGGUUAAUCUAUGAUAGAUACUAAUUACUAUACUGCUAAUAAUGAGUGCCGUUGCAGGAGGAGCAGCGUCAGUCUGGUACGCUAUAAAAAGCGUGAAAAAAA